UACGUAGGGUGCAAGCGUUGUCCGGAAUUAUUGGGCGUAAAGAGCGUGUAGGCGGCUAGAUAGGUCCGUUGUGAAAACUCGAGGCUCAACCUCGAGACGUCGAUGGAAACCAUCUGGCUAGAGUCCGGAAGAGGAGAGUGGAAUUCCUGGUGUAGCGGUGAAAUGCGCAGAUAUCAGGAGGAACACCAAUUGCGAAGGCAGCUCGCUGGGACGUUACUGACGCUGAGACGCGAAAGCGUGGGGAGCAAACAGG
rnacentral:rRNA from 1 species